GGCUCGAUGGUCUAGGGGUAUGAUUCUCGCUUUGGGUGCGAGAGGUCCCGGUUUCAAAUCCCGGUCGAGCCC